rnacentral:snRNA from 1 species
GAGGGGGCCGCGCGAACGCAGGCCCCUACUGCCACAAAUUAUGUCGUAUACAUUAGUUUUUUCAUUAACCAAAGCAU